rnacentral:rRNA from 1 species
UAUCUCUGUAGAGUCUGCAUAUCAAUAAGCGGAGGAAAAGAAACUAACAAGGAUUCCCCUAGUAACGGCGAGUGAAGCGGGAAGAGCUCAAAUUUGAAAUCUUCAAGGUUUGACCUUGACGAAUUGUAGUUUAAAGAAGUGUUUUCGGUUAGAGGAGUAGUAAAAGUUCUUUGGAAUAGGACAUCAUAGAGGGUGAGAAUCCCGUAUUUGACUAUUCUUUCUAGCUUUGUGAUACACUUUCAACGAGUCGGAUUGUUUGGGAAUGCAGUCCAAAAUGGGUGGUAAAUUUCAUCUAAAGCUAAAUAUUGGCGAGAGACCGAUAGCGAACAAGUACCGUGAGGGAAAGAUGAAAAGAACUUUGAAAAGAGAGUUAAACAGUACGUGAAAUUGUCAAAAGGGAAGCGUUUGACACCAGUGUUGUUUUUCCGAAAAUCAAUUAAAAAUUGAUUCAUGCCAGGUUGUAUUGACCUUAUCAGCUUGCAAUUUGGUUUUGGGUCUCUUUUUGAUGCACUUUUCGGUUAACAAGUCAACAUCAAUUUCCUUUGCUGUAAAAAGGUAAGAGGAAGGUGGCUUCAAUUUCGGUUGAAGUGUUUAUAGCCUUUUAUCUCUGCAGUCGGGGAGAUUGAGGUCUGCAGCGUAGAUCCUUCGGGGCUAGAUACAUUUAUGCUAAGUUAUAGCUUUUCAUAGACAGCUUGUUGACUAUGUUUAGUCAUGUAGCUUACUCGUAAGUGCUAUUUUACCUACGCUUAGGAUGUUGAAGACUCUACAGAGAUA